rnacentral:lncRNA from 10 species
UUUAUCAACUUUCCUCCUUUUCUUCAUAAAGUAUCCCUAAUGUUUCAUUAUUCUUUAUGCAAUAAAAUAUCACAUAUCUUAUCUCAUACAUACAAAGUAGAGAAAGAAAUACCUUUCUCCCUUUCUCUAUUUUUAACUAGGUCAGGUCCUUUUGUACUGUGUAGUAGGCCGAGUUCUAAUACACCAUCCCCUGAAAUCCCAAGAUUCCUGGUCCCUGGUGUACACACAUUUUCUCUCAGUUAUUCAAUCAAAUACUAAUCUCGGUAUCUCUGUGAAGGGGUUUUGCUGAUAUAAUUAAAAGUCUUAGGUUUUAAUCAAUUGACAUUAAGAUUAUCCUUGUGGGCCUGACCUCAUCACAUAGCUACUUUAAAAGCAGAGAGGUUCCUCCAGAUAGUUGCAAAAGAGCAUUUCAGAGAUUCAAAGCACCAUUGCUUGCUUAAAGAUGGAGGAGGACACAUGGCCAGAAGUGCAGUGGCCUCUUGGAAACUGGACCAGGCCCUGGCUAAUAACCAACGAGGAAAUGAGGACAUCACCCGGAAGGAACUGAACUCAGCCAAGAACAGGAAUGGGCUUGGAGGCUGUUUGUGCCCAAGACCCUGAAGAUAAGAAGUCAGUCCAGCUGAAAUCUUGAUUUCAGCUUUGUGAUACUUUGAGCAAGGAGCCCCACCACAUUAUUCCAGACUUCUGACCUAUAGAAAGUGUUGAUUACUGGCAGGCUUCUCUGGUCAUCUUUCUCCCUCCACUUCUAUCAACAUGGAGUUUUGUACUCAGCAAAAUAAAAAUCUUUCAAAACUGAGCACCAAAACAAAACAAAACAAAAGAUAUUUUUAUAUUAAAAAACCGAGAGACUUUGUUGGUAGCAAAUUAAAACUACAAUAAAUGGUUAAAUGAAGGAAUAUGGUAUCAAUUGGAAAUGUGGAUUUCCACAAAGGAAUUGAGGACAUUUGAUAUUAUAAAAAUGUAGAGAACCCUAAUACAAAGUCUAUGACAGAAGAAGGUGAAGAUGCAGAGCCCGAUCCCUCCCAGUUCACCUUUCUACAGUUCACCAGCCUGAAGCCACCAGGAAUUCGCAGAGGAAAAAGUGAUUUAAAUUGGUUGAGAGACUGGACCUUCAGCACUGCUCUUUCUAAACAUCUGAAAGUCUGUGUAUGUCUAUGCAAUUUGCCCAGGAUUUCACCUUGGAAGGGGAAGAAAACUUUGACAGAAGUUAUUGAAAGAGGCAAUGGUGAGAAUGAAUAAGGCUUGUUUAUGAUUACAUGUACAGAGUUUAACCCAUUCCAAAAAAUAGUUAUACUCGUGUAUCUCAUUUCAUUUCUACAACUCUGAGUUUUAAAAGGUAAAAAUCUAGCAAAGUUAAAGAGCUCACUUAAAGUCAU